rnacentral:rRNA from 1 species
GACGAACGCUGGCGGCGUGCUUAACACAUGCAAGUCGAACGGAAAGGCCCUGCUUUUGUGGGGUGCUCGAGUGGCGAACGGGUGAGUAACACGUGAGUAACCUGCCCUUGACUUUGGGAUAACUUCAGGAAACUGGGGCUAAUACCGGAUAGGAGCUCCUGCUGCAUGGUGGGGGUUGGAAAGUUUCGGCGGUUGGGGAUGGACUCGCGGCUUAUCAGCUUGUUGGUGGGGUAGUGGCUUACCAAGGCUUUGACGGGUAGCCGGCCUGAGAGGGUGACCGGCCACAUUGGGACUGAGAUACGGCCCAGACUCCUACGGGAGGCAGCAGUGGGGAAUAUUGCACAAUGGGCGGAAGCCUGAUGCAGCAACGCCGCGUGCGGGAUGACGGCCUUCGGGUUGUAAACCGCCUUCGCCUGUGACGAAGCGUGAGUGACGGUAAUGGGUAAAGAAGCACCGCCUAACUACGUG